rnacentral:miRNA from 1 species
UUUAUAUUACGGGCGGAAAUUGUUACCAUUUUUGAGCCGAAAAUGGUAACAAUUUCUGCACGUAAUACAAA